UGUUUAGCAGAUAAGAGGAUGACACUUUUUCUGGCACUUCAUUUCUACAGUCGUCAUCAUUUUUUGUAUCUUUCAUCUGAGAUUAAGAUGAAAGCAGCAGCAGCAGCAGCACUUCCUUAAGACUUCACACCAGCAGCAUAGCUGAGAGAGUUUGAGGUUUACGUAACAGAGAGCAGUGCAAAGGGGUCUGUCUACACUCCCUUCGGUAGAGUUUACUGGACACCGUGAGCAGCAGUUGCACUGUUGGUUAGAGGUCUCAACCAGUAUGGGUAGAUGGAAACUGUGUUUUGUUCUGCUUCUGCAGCUAACUUUUUAUAUCGGCAGCACAGCAACUCUUGUGAAGCUUUCAAAAACCAUUGGGAGUAAACCAGAUGUGACUCCAAUCUGCACAAAUUCAACACUGAAUAUGGUCGCACUUGUAAUUUGUAAGAUCAGAACACAGAUGAGAGAAGAAGAGUGUCGUCUUCUGUAUCAACAUGGACAGGACUUUAUACAUGAAUGUGACUCCAGAUUCACACUGAUGGAAGAGAAUCAGACUGUGUUUCUCCACCUGACCAGUUUAACACCAGAGGAUAGUGGGCACGUCACCUGUGAGUGUUCACAUGUUGGUGGAACAAUUAUUCUCCAUCUGAAUAUCACUGUGGAAGAGGAUGAAGACCCCGACCAUAUAGCAACAGAAAUAUCUUUAGUUAAUGUUGGAAUUCUAAUUGGUGUAUUUAUAUUCAUCAUUAUAACCGGAGUUAUCCUGGGAGUUAUCUACAGAAAAAGUCACCAUAGCAGACGACAACUGGAACCACGGAGCAGUCGUCCAGACGAGGAACCACGAAAUAUUGAGCCGUAUCUCACCUUCAUCCAGAGAGAGAAUGCACUUUAUUCUGCCACAGCCUAUAUUCAUGAUUCAAAUGUGUUCACCCGAAUUUAA
rnacentral:lncRNA from 15 species